rnacentral:rRNA from 1 species
CCUACGGGAGGCUGCAGUGGGGAAUAUUGCGCAAUGGGCGAAAGCCUGACGCAGCGACGCCGCGUGAGGGAUGAAGGCCUUCGGAUUGUAAACCUCUGUUAGCAGGGAAGAACGGUCACUGUGCUAAUCAGCAGUGAAUUGAUGGUACCUGCAAAGGAAGCACCGGCUAACUCCGUGCCAGCAGCCGCGGUAAUACGGAGGGUGCGAGCGUUUAUCGGAGUUACUGGGCGUAAAGCGCUCGUAGGCGGUAUGUCAAGUCAAGGGUGAAAUCUCCGCGCUCAACGUGGGAACUGCCUUUGAAACUGGCAAACUAGAGUGUGUGAGAGGAUAGUUGAAUGCCAGGUGUAGGAGUGAAAUCCGUAGAUAUCAGAAGGAACAUCAGUGGCGAAGGCGACUAUCUGGCACAUAACUGACGCUGAGGAGCGAAAGCGUGGGUAGCAAACAGGAUUAGAUACCCUUGUAGUC